UGGGUAGUAUCCUUAGGAACUGCACCUUAUAUUAUCAUAGUAUAAUUUAAUAUUGUUCUGCCUUGAUCCGAUACGGACGGGGACAGAGGG
rfam:Bacillus shackletonii strain LMG 18435 super11, whole genome shotgun sequence.